rnacentral:tRNA from 1 species
GAGCGGCUGCGCCAACUGGAAGGCGCCGAGGCCUGCUACGCCACCGGGUCCGGCAUGGGUGCCGUGUUCACGGCACUGGCCGCACUCC